UCCACCAUUUAGAGGAGCAUACGCCUGACU
rnacentral:piRNA from 1 species